rnacentral:rRNA from 1 species
CCUACGGGAGGCAGCAGUGAGGAAUAUUGGUCAAUGGCCGGAAGGCUGAACCAGCCAUGCCGCGUGUAGGUCAGUGCCCUAUGGGCGUUAAACUUCUUUUGUGCGGGAGCAAUAAUGGUCAGGUGUGGCCAGACGAGAGUACCGUACGAAUAAGCAUCGGCUAACCCCGUGCCAGCAGCCGCGGUAAUACCGGGGAUGCAAGCGUUAUCCGGAGUUAUUGGGUUUAAAGGGUGCGUAGGCUGUGAGGUAAGGCAGCGGUGAAAUGCCCCCGCUCAACGGGGUGAAGUGCCAUUGAUACUGCCUUGCUUGAAUGCGGAUGCCGUGGGAGGAAUGUGUGGUGUAGCGGUGAAAUGCAUAGAUAUCACACAGAACACCGAUUGCGAAGGCAUCUCCCGAAUCCGCGAUUGACGCUGAUGCACGAAAGCGUGGGUAUCAAACAGGAUUAGAUACCCUUGUAGUC